rnacentral:lncRNA from 1 species
AUCGAGGUAUUGUUGGAAGACAAGGCUACUGAAAGCACUAUCAAACUCAGCCUUCCUGUGGGACAAGAGGCCCUCAUAACCCUCAAAGACGGACAAAAAUUUGUGAUUCAUAUAUCAGAUGUACCCCAGAGCUCUGAUAAUAUUUAUUUCAGAGAAAGCAAUGCUAAUAUGCAAGAUGGUUUAUUUGAAUAGGGCAUGAGGAAACAGAUUUGCAUUCCUACAAAUGUAUUCUAAUGCUUUUUUAAAUUGGUAAGAAAGAAAAUUUUUAUGUAUAUAAUAGUUGUAGCAUUUUGCAUUUAUCUGUAUUUCAAGGAGUUGAUUUUGAUCAAACUAUAAACUGAUUUGGAGAAUA